UGACGUUUUGGAGCUGCGACGCACAGCCCUGCAGACCAGAGGGAUGAACUGGAGUCGGAGCCGGCAGGUUGAGUGGAAAUCAAGUUUCUCCGUGACCCUCUGUGGAUAUAAGGAGGUCUGCGGAGGAGCCCGUAUUGUUUUCAGGUGGAUCUACAUGAUGGAAUGAAGCGAGUGUUGAGUUUGAGCAGCUGUGAGACGGAGGAGUGGAACAUGGAGCAGCAUUAGUCCGGAGAUAGCCCCAGGCAGCAGAGCCACAACCAGGAGGAGGAGAGUCCCACGGCAGAGUGAAGGAAGUGUUCCACAGUCCGACUGGAUAGGACAGCACAGGGACAACUGUGGAGGGAGGGAGGAACCGGCAAAGGAGAAGAGAAACACAGGCAGCAGUGGAUGGAAAUUCGGGCUGUGUGAGCUGCACUAACGUCCAUGAGCAAAGUUCUAUCCAACAUCCCAUUCUGAGAGAAGACAAAGGGGGA